CAGCCGCCGCGGGAAUACGUAGGUGGCAAGCGUUGUCCGGAAUUAUUGGGCGUAAAGGGCUCGCAGGCGGUUUCUUAAGUCUGAUGUGAAAGCCCCCGGCUCAACCGGGGAGGGUCAUUGGAAACUGGGAAACUUGAGUGCAGAAGAGGAGAGUGGAAUUCCACGUGUAGCGGUGAAAUGCGUAGAGAUGUGGAGGAACACCAGUGGCGAAGGCGACUCUCUGGUCUGUAACUGACGCUGAGGAGCGAAAGCGUGGGGAGCGAACAGGAUUAGAGACCCCAGUAGUCCCUGUCUCUUAUAC
rnacentral:rRNA from 1 species